rnacentral:rRNA from 1 species
UACAGAGGGUGCAAGCGUUAAUCGGAAUUACUGGGCGUAAAGCGCGCGUAGGUGGUUUGUUAAGUUGGAUGUGAAAUCCCCGGGCUCAACCUGGGAACUGCAUUCAAAACUGACAAGCUAGAGUAUGGUAGAGGGUGGUGGAAUUUCCUGUGUAGCGGUGAAAUGCGUAGAUAUAGGAAGGAACACCGUAGUGGCGAAGGCGACCACGUGGACUGAUACUGACACUGAAGGUGCGGAAAGCGUAGGGAGCUAAACACGGAUUA